rnacentral:sRNA from 1 species
UCGACUCCUGUUAACGUGCAAUUAAUCUUUGCGCGGUAGUCUUUGAUUAUUCAGUUGUUCUGAAUUUUUCGAAGUGGUUUCUCCCUCUGUUUGACGCCUCCCUGUUGACUUCGAGAGCGGUUCUUUACCGCUCUUUUUUU